AUGCCCCCGCGGGCCGGCGGGCGGGAGGGAGGCGCCCCCGGGGACUCCGCGCGGCCGCCCGGUCAAGGGCGCAGGGUCGGGGCCGGCGCCCCCCGCCCGGCUCCCCGCACAAAAUGGAGCCGGCCGGGACGCCGCCGGGACGCGGCCGGGACGGGCCUGACGGUGCCCCGGCGCCCCCUCCUCGGCCUCGGGCCGGAGCUCGGCGGCGGCGGGCAGGAGGCGGCCUGGCCCGCGUCCCGCCGCUCCUCGGCCCGGCGCACAAAGAGCCGCUCCCCGGCCGGGCCCGCAGCGGGAGCGGCCUCGCAGGCGCCGGCCCGGCCCGGCCCCGGCCCCGGCCCCGGCCCCGGCCCCGGGCGGGAGGGCGCGCGGGAGGGAGGCGAGUUGCCCCGGCCGCGGCGGCGUUGGCGGCGGGGACGGCGCCGGGAGGAGACGGACAUUUCAUUCGAGCUAAAGUGGAGUCGGUUUAGGAGCGAUCAUUGGCCGAAGCGAGACACAAACCUCCAAUGCAGCCCUGGUUGGCUCCCGUCUCCAAUCGGCUGUUUGGUUGGACAGAAAAUGGCUGCGAAGGAACCAGUCCCAGCGCGGAGCUCCGCUUCCAGGACUCGGCCUCCCCUCCCUCCGCCGCGGGCCGCUUCCCUCGGCGCGACACCCUCCCUCCGCGCCUCCCGCGAGCCCGCCCGCCGCGGCCCCGCCCCCAGGCCCCGCCCCCAGGCCCCGCCCCCAGGCCCCGCCCCCAGGCCCCGCCCCCAGGCCCCGCCCCCAGGCCCCGCCCCCAGGCCCCGCCCCGCCCCCGCCGGGUGUGCUGAGCUACUGCAGUGGCUGGAGCCUGCAGAGCGGGGAGCGGGGAGCCGGGAGCGGGCUGCGGGCAGCGGCGGGCGGGUCCUGCAGCGGCUGCUCGGCGGGGGCUCCUCGGGGCCGGGACUCCGGCACGCUCGUGAGGCCUGUGCGGGCUUUCAACCCCCGGUGUUUGCCCGGGCCCGGGCGAAGCGUGAUUUCUCAGGCUUCCCUCCCUUUUCAGGCCCCUCCCUCCCCCACGGAGAGCGUCCGGCCACGGGAGCGCAGCCUGCCUGCGCCUCGGCUCUUUAG
rnacentral:lncRNA from 1 species